GAAAGGUCCUUUAAGCAAAACGACUUUAGAUUAAUAUCAAAGACAUAAUAGUGCUAUAACCUCUUCAGAAUUCUUUGCAAGUUUACAAAACUUGUAUUUUUAUUCUUAUAAACAUAGCUUUGUGUUUUAUAAAUCUGAGAACUGGAAGUUCAUACAAAAACAGUAAAUUCUUUAAAAUCACACAUUCCCACACAUCACCUGCCACUCAGAACCUUAGCUUUUGGGGGGUGCUGGGGGAAGGUUGUUCUGAGACAGAGUUUCUCUGCCUUGGCUGUCCUGGCGCUCACAGAGCCUGCCUCUGCCUCCAGAGCACUGGAUUGAAGGUCUGCGCCACCAGGCCCAGCAUUUUAAGAGUAAUUUUAACACACUAUAUUUUCUGACUGCUACAUAUUUGUACUAAAGUGUGGUUCUAUAACUCUUUGGUUCAGUUUUAAGAAAAAUUAUUUGUCAAUGAAGUUAAAGGAACCUGACUUUGUGGCAGAAUCAUUAGACAUUGAAUGCCGGUGACCUUUAUGUGCGUGUUAUGAAUUCCCUGCAAAUUUCUCUUCUCCAUUGCUUAGUUAGAACUCAGGCCAGACAUGGUAAUCCACACCUUUAAUCCCAGCACUCAGGAGGCAGAGGCAGGUGGAUCUCUUCAAGACCAGCCUGGUCUACAGAGAGAGUUCCAGACCAGUCAAGGCUAUGGGAGAUCCUAGCUUUAAAAAAAAAAAAAACAGACUUUGACCUUGAAAGAUGAUGAACUUGAGUGAAGACUGUAUGGCUUGUCUGGUUUUGGUGCCCACAGAGUAAUGUGAAUGUAUAUAUUUACUUGACUGCAAUAUGGAAUCAAAAGGGAAUUACCUAGAAAUUUUCCCUUUCCUGUUAAUGGAGAUGGGUGCUGGGCAACCAACAAAAUAAUGCUUUGACUGGAGAUUUUCUGAAGUCCAGAGAAAAUCUAAACACUGGUGCAUACCCCCUCAUUCUAGCUGUUUCCACUAGAGAAGUUUGUGACAGGUGUGGGGAUUGGCCAGCAGGCCCGAGAUGUUAAUCCAUGCUGCAUCCCUGGAAUGUCACCACUCACCUGCAUGGUGUCCUGUCACAGUCUGCACUUUAGUCCCUCAGCAGGGGGGUCCUGUUGGCCUAGGGAUUUUUGCAGUUGAACAGUCUUCUGUCUGGUCAUUAAAUUUGUUUAAGAAAUAAUCUCAAUAAAAGUUUAUGGUAAGCAGCAUAGUAUUUGUUUCUGUUUUUGCUCAGGUGGCCGGUCUGAUCUUGGAUAUAAUUCAUUAUCUAAGGACAAUGUUAGAAGAGAGGGUCCAUCUACUGAAGACAUUCAAGGGGAAAAGGAGAAAAGAGGGAGUGAUUCUAGUUCCUGUAGGUAUUCAUUGUUAAGUUGAUUUUAUGUAAGCUCGUAUAGAAAAUACAAAAACUUCAAGUAUAAAAGUACUAGUUUAGCCUCUGUCUUCCUGUUAUAAUUACCUUCCUUCUCGCUGAUCCUUGUUACUACCUAGUACUCUCACCCACAAGCGUUGUGUAGCAAGUGUGACUGCCCAGUGGUGGAACUUGCCAAGCAAGUCCUGUUAAGUGAACGCCAGGUGACUCCUGUGAAAAUACGCAUAGUAGAAAUGUCUUGUCUUGUCUUUUUUUUUCUUCUUUUUAAAACAGAGUUCUUUUUCUGAGGUCUAAUACACGCUGUCUUAGUUAGGUCUAUCACUGCUGUGAUAAAACACCAGGAACAAAAGCAACUUGGGGAGGAAAGGGUUUAUUUGACUUCCAUACUUCAAGUCACAGUCCACUGAGGGAAGCCAAGGUGGGAACAAACAGGACAGGCCUCUAGAGGCCAACUGGUGCCUCUGGCUUCUUUGGCUGGUUUCUUUCAGAACCCAGGACCAAGGCUGGCCCCACCCACAAUGGGCUGGGCCCUCUCCCAUCAAUCACUAAUUAAGAACGUGUCCUACAGGCUUGCCUGCAGCUAAAUCUUCUGAGGCAAGUUUACUGUUGAGGCUCCCUCCUGGAUGACUCCAGCUUGUGUCAAGUUGACAUAAAACUAUACCUUUAUUUAAGGUUUGUUGGUGAAUUACGAUUUAUAUUUCCUUUCUUCCCACUCCAAGGUGCAUAUUUCACAACCACAGAGAAGAUAUAAAAUUCUAUAUGAGCCUUAUAUAUGACCAGCUCUUAGUAAUUCAAUUUGGUCCACACUUGAUGGCCUUUAAGUGCAGUGAAUUAUUUGACAAGUGUGUAGAGAAGCAAUUAGUAUACUCUUAUCACCAAUUUUCAUUUUGAAAUAUAUAAGACUAAAAGCCUCUCUUUAUACAUCCUGCAACAUACGUAAGUUUAAUUCUGCUAACAUUUUACAUUUGCCGUUAUAGUGUCAGAAAAUGAGAGUACAAAAGGAAGUGCGGAGUGCCUCCCUACUCUCAGUUACCAGAGGGCUUCCACUAUAGUUCGCCUCAACGGUGCACAUAACGACAGUGCUGGUAAAACAUCCGGAGAAUGUGAGGGUAAGUUGAAUAGUAUACAUUUGCAUAUGCAGAAUGAAGUGUAUCUGUGUCUACUAAGUAUGUAUUUUUAAAUAUUAAAUUUAGAUUCUAUUUUUGGUGGCAGAUAUCCUUACCCACUGAGCCAUCCUACUGAUCCCAGUGAAUAUUUGUGUACCCUCUCUUACUAAAACUUAGCAGCUUGAGUUUUGUGUUUUAUAGCAUAUUUGCUCAAGCUUUUAUUAUAACAAGGCACACCUUGUUUUAUUAUAAGGGCCUGAAUGCUGCCUUUUAAUUUUGAACUAUUGGGACUUCCAGAAGGGAAAGUGUGCAAAAAAAGGGUGGAGGGGAGAAGUAAAUCUGAGGGAACCAUACACCUAGCCAACUUUUAAAUGAGCCAUAUGCUUUUGUAGUCUGUGUCCUUCCUGUUUAUUCAGAGGCAAACUAAAAAGUCCCUCAGAUAGUUUGAGAAAGUCAUGACCAUGGUGAUGCACGCCUUUGAUCUCAGCACUGGGGAGCCAGAGGCAAGUGAACCUCUGUGUGUUCCUCAUCCCCUGGUCUACUUCAGUGCUUCAGGCAGCCCAGGCUACUUAGUGAGAUAGUGUCACCC
rnacentral:lncRNA from 1 species